CCUCCAGCAACCCUCGGUCUGUUUCCUAGAGUUCAGCCUCUCCUGUGGUUUGUCUCCUGACAGAGAAAUGUGCCUCCAAGCUCGGAGGAGGGAACUUCUGUGCUUUCUAAGUUUUCCAUAUUCUGUCUGAAGUGUAAAUGGCCAGGAGGUAAUGAAGACCUUGCCCAGGAUUGCCGGAGACUGAAGGGCAAAGAGACACAGCAGCUUCCCAACACAUGGACUGCUGCCGAAGCUCCCCUGCCGCCCCCGGCACGGUCCACCAGCCCCCGCAACAUCCAUGGACACCCCAUGAGCUUUGCUGCAGCAUCUGUGAGGGAGAGGAUGGGCAGUGAACCUACAGAAAAUUCAAGACCCAGAUACUACAGUAAGCUUUUGGGUGUCGUCUGGCCAGGUAAGACGCCUGUUGUUCCAAAACCUGUGAUUAAUAAGCUGUGGGUUUAUCCAACUCCUAAGAACGAGAGAAGUGCAAGCCUUUGUUGGGGCUUGGGGGGCUCUGGGGGACUUUAAUUCCCUACCUGGCACAGUGUUCCUGUCCUUAUGCUGCCUGGCAGAGAGAGGGCUCAUGUGGGGCUGGGGGUCAGAGUAGCAGGCCACCUUCAGACAGCAAAAGUACUAGUAAAACAGAUGAAAGCUCUGGGCAUCUCCUAAGCAGGGCUGCCAUUUGCGUCAGAGGCGUCCAUGACCCCGGAAGCUAGGAGUCAGGCACUGGGGCAGACAACAGAAGGAAAGAUUACCCCUGCACUUUGGUCCCAGCUCUGGGAGGGGACAGAAAGCUGAUCCACUCCCUUACAGAACGCUAGCUCCUAGCAGUGUCCGCAGCACUCCCCCAGGGGGACCCUCUCACAUGGCAGUCAUGCAGCAGCUGGGGGCUGAGUUCAGAGUGGACUGGCUGGUGAUCACCCAUGAGCCCAUGCUGCUGGCCCCUUGCACGGACAGCAGGCCUGCUCUAAACGGAUGAACCCUAUGUCUUGGACAAUGGGAAGCUGAGGGGUGGAUGAUCAUGAAUAAACCCUUGCAGGACCAGAAUGCGUGGAAAGGCCCUUGGGUCCAUCCGUAAGAGUCUGAGGCAUCCUCCCUGCCUUCUACCUUCUGGUUCAUAAGGCACUGACCAUAGCUUCACCAUCGGGGACCUGAAACCCCAGCUACUGAUCCUUUGGUAGAUACAGCAGAUCGGGUGCAUAGAAAGAGCAACCACCAUAACACCAAGGUGGGAUGGCACAUUGCCAAGGAUGCCAGAUUGCCCUUGAAGUACAGUGACUAGGUUAAUGCAGUAUCACCAUGUCCUGUGUGUUUUCCACAAUGGCCUCCCCCUGCACCCCCCCCUCCCCCGGCUACUGCCGGAGGAGUCUAGGACCAUCCUCUGGACUUCCUAGCCAGUGAGAGAUUGACAAAUUGACUGUAUUGCCCCACUCCCUCCAAGUGAGGAUUCUAAAUAUGCCUUGAGAACAGGACAUUGGAUGAGAGUUUCAUCUUCCCUAUAACUCACAGGGGUAAUGGAAAGGAAAAAUGAAUACUAGAGCAGCAGAUCAAAUUACUAGUAUGGAAAACCAUGUUAGUUGAGUGAACUAACCAACCAUCUCAGACUUCUAUAUAUUUGAUCAAGUACAAGGGCUGUUCCCAGGCCAGACUGGGAACCCUACUAGGCACCCAGUACCGUAAAGGUACGGAAGUUGCAAGAAACUAUGGAUUGACCUGCUGUGCUCCUGAGAACAGCAAGCCUCAUCCCACCUGGAAAAGGCAUCAGCUACUGGAAUUUGCAGUGGGAGGUCCCCUGGAAUGGAUCAAUGACGUGAAGAUGGCAGCCCUUCCGUUCACUGACACCAUUCAGAAACUCCCCGACUGCACAAUAGCCAUGGGUUGGUCAAGGAAAUGAGUGCAUCUGCAGUGAGAAAGACCAUGAGCCACCUGACUGGAUGGA